UACGUAGGGGGCUAGCGUUGUCCGGAUUUAUUGGGCGUAAAGAGCGUGUAGGCGGCCAGGUAGGUCUGCUGUGAAAACUCGAGGCUCAACCUCGAGAUGUCGGCGGAAACCAUCUGGCUAGAGUCCGGAAGAGGAAAGUGGAAUUCCUGGUGUAGCGGUGAAAUGCGCAGAUAUCAGGAAGAACACCCGUGGCGAAGGCGGCUCUCUGGAACGGUACUGACGCUGAGACGCGAAAGCGUGGGGAGCGAACAGG
rnacentral:rRNA from 1 species